rnacentral:rRNA from 1 species
GCGGAUCUUUUGGAGCUUGCUUCAAAAGAUUAGCGGCGGACGGGUGAGUAACACGUGGGCAACCUGCCCUGCAGAUGGGGAUAACUCCGGGAAACCGGGGCUAAUACCGAAUAAUCAAUACUUCCGCAUGGAAGUAUUCUGAAAGACGGUUUCGGCUGUCACUGCAGGAUGGGCCCGCGGCGCAUUAGCUUGUUGGUGGGGUAAUGGCCUACCAAGGCGACGAUGCGUAGCCGACCUGAGAGGGUGAACGGCCACACUGGGACUGAGACACGGCCCAGACUCCUACGGGAGGCAGCAGUAGGGAAUCUUCCACAAUGGACGAAAGUCUGAUGGAGCAACGCCGCGUGAGCGAUGAAGGUCUUCGGAUCGUAAAGCUCUGUUGUAAGGGAAGAACAAGUAUCAUUUAACUGAUGGUACCUUGACGGUACCUUACGAGAAAGCCACGGCUAACUACGUGCCAGCAGCCGCGGUAAUACGUAGGUGGCAAGCGUUGUCCGGAAUUAUUGGGCGUAAAGCGCGCGCAGGCGGUCCUUUAAGUCUGAUGUGAAAGCCCACGGCUCAACCGUGGAGGGUCAUUGGAAACUGGAGGACUUGAGUGCAGAAGAGGAAAGCGGAAUUCCACGUGUAGCGGUGAAAUGCGUAGAGAUGUGGAGGAACACCAGUGGCGAAG